CGUCAUCGUGGUCGGGUUCGGAGCCGCCGGCGCUGCCGCCGCCAUCGAGGCCGCGAGCUGCGGAGCGCGGGUGCUGGCCCUGGAUCGCGG
rnacentral:tRNA from 1 species